rnacentral:rRNA from 1 species
ACGGGGCGCAGCAGGCGCGAAAACUUUACAAUGCAGGCAACUGUGAUAAGGGAACCCCUAGUGCCCGUAUGGACGGGCUGUUCAGGUGCUUAAAAACAACCUGGAGAAAGGGCCGGGCAAGACCGGUGCCAGCCGCCACGGUAAUACCGGCGGGUCGAGUGGUGGCCACUA